rnacentral:rRNA from 1 species
GACGAACGCUGGCGGCGUGCUUAACACAUGCAAGUCGAACGGAAAGGCCCUGCUUUUGUGGGGUGCUCGAGUGGCGAACGGGUGAGUAACACGUGAGUAACCUGCCCUUGACUUUGGGAUAACUUCAGGAAACUGGGGCUAAUACCGGAUAGGAGCUCCUGCUGCAUGGUGGGGGUUGGAAAGUUUCGGCGGUUGGGGAUGGACUCGCGGCUUAUCAGCUUGUUGGUGGGGUAGUGGCUUACCAAGGCUUUGACGGGUAGCCGGCCUGAGAGGGUGACCGGCCACAUUGGGACUGAGAUACGGCCCAGACUCCUACGGGAGGCAGCAGGGGGGAAUAUUGCACAAUGGGCGGAAGCCUGAUGCAGCAACGCCGCGUGCGUGAUGACGGCCUUCGGGUUGUAAACCGCUUUCGCCUGUGACGAAGCGUGAGUGACGGUAAUGGGUAAAGAAGCACCGGCUAACUACGUG